rnacentral:lncRNA from 1 species
AUGUAUUGGAAUUUUAGUUUAUAAAUUGAAUUUUAGGAUAUGAAUUGAACUUUUGUGGAUAUGAGUUGAACCUUUAGGAUAUGAAUUGAACCUUUAGGAUAUAAGUUGGACUUUUAGUUUAUGUAUUGAAAUUUUAGUUUAUAAAUUGAAAUUUUAGGAUAUGACUUGAACUUUUGUGGAUAUGAGUUGAACCUUUAGGAUAUGAAUUGAACCUUUAGGAUAUGAGUUGGACUUUUAUUUUAUGUAUUGAAAUUUUAGUUUAUAAAUUGAAAUUUUAGGAUAUGACUUGAACUUUUGUGGAUAUGAGUUGAACCUUUAGGAUAUGAAUUGAACAUUUAGGAUAUGAAUUGGACUUUUAGUUUAUGUAUUGGAAUUUUAGUUUAUAAAUUGAAAUUUUAGGAUAUGACUUGAACUUUUGUGGAUAUGAGUUGAACCUUUAGGAUAUGAAUUGAACAUUUAGGAUAUGAAUUGGACUUUUAGUUUAUAAAUUGAAAUUUUAGGAUAUGACUUGAACUUUUGUGGAUAUGAGUUGAACCUUUAGGAUAUGAAUUGGACUUUUAGUUUAUGUAUUGGAAUUUUAGUUUAUAAAUUAAAAUUUUAGGAUAUGACUUGAACUUUUGUGGAUAUGAGUUGAACCUUUAGGAUAUGAAUUGAACCUUUAGGAUAUGAGUUGGACUUUUAGUUUAUGUAUUGAAAUUUUAGUUUAUAAAUUGAAAUUUUAGGAUAUGACUUGAACUUUUGUGGAUAUGAGUUGAACCUUUAGGAUAUGAAUUGAACCUUUAGGAUAUGAAUUGGACUUUUAAUUUAUGUAUUGGAAUUUUAGUUUAUAAAUUAAAAUUUUAGGAUGUGACUUGAACUUUUGUGGAUAUGAGUUGAACCUUUAGGAUAUGAAUUGAACCUUUAGGAUAUGAAUUGAAAUUUUUGGUUUAUGUAUUGGAAUUUUAGUUUAUAAAUUAAAAUUUUAGGAUAUGACUUGAACUUUUGUGGAUAUGAGUUGAACCUUUAGGAUAUGAAAUGAAAUUUUUUGUAUGAAUUGAACUUUUAGGAUAUGAAUUGAACCUUUAGGAUAUGAAUUGAACCUUUAGGAUAUAAAUCGAAAUUUUUGUGUAUGAAUUAAAUUUUUAGGAUAUGAAUUGAGCUUUUGUGGAUAUGAAUAGAAAUUUAGGAUUGCGGGAGGAUUUUGUAGAAGGGUUUGAUAACUUUAUUAGACAUGCAAUGGAACUUCCACCAAGAAUAACUUAGACACAGUAUCUGGCAUAGUGUGCCUUUAAUUGUUGUUCUCAUUAGCGACAAUGAUGAUGAGAAGGCAAUGGCAUGUGUUUCAAAAAGUGAUGGUGUAGGUAGGAAUUUAACAUUUCCUAAGUAGAUAAAAGAAAAGGUUAUAGAGGAAUUCUCUACUUCAUUUUCCAAGAGGAAGUAGAGAAUUCCUCUAUAAC